CCUACGGGUGGCAGCAGUGGGGAAUAUUGGUCCAUGGAGGCAACUCUGACCCAGCAACGCCGCGUGAAUGAUGAAGGUCUUCGGAUUGUAAAGUUCUUUUUGACGGGAAGAAGAAAGUGACGGUACCUUAGGAAUAAGCCUCGGCUAACUACGUGCCAGCAGCCGCGGUAAUACGUCGGAGGCAGUCGUUAUCCGGAAUGACUGGUCGUAAAGGGUGCGUAGGUUGUUUGACAAGGUAGUAGCGCAACUCCGGAGCUCAACUCCGGAACUACUACUAAAACUGUUGGACUUGAGUGCAGGAGUGGCAAUCGGAAUUCGUAGUGUAGCGGUGGAAUGCGUAGAUAUUAGGAGGAACACCAGUGGCGAAGGCGGAUUGCUGGACUGUAACUGACGCUGAGGCACGAAAGCGUGGGGAGCAAACAGGAUUAGAUACCCUUGUAGUC
rnacentral:rRNA from 1 species